rnacentral:rRNA from 1 species
GGCAGACGGGUGAGUAACACGUGGGAACAUGCCCUUUGGUCUGGAAUAACUCAGGGAAACUUGAGCUAAUACCGGAUAAGCCCGAGAGGGGAAAGAUUUAUUGCCGAAGGAUUGGCCCGCGUCCGAUUAGCUAGUUGGUGAGGUAAUGGCUCACCAAGGCGACGAUCGGUAGCUGGUCUGAGAGGAUGAUCAGCCACAUUGGGACUGAGACACGGCCCAAACUCCUACGGGAGGCAGCAGUGGGGAAUAUUGGACAAUGGGCGCAAGCCUGAUCCAGCCAUGCCGCGUGAGUGAUGAAGGCCCUAGGGUUGUAAAGCUCUUUCGCCAGGGACGAUAAUGACGGUACCUUACCAGAAAGCCACGGCUAACUACGUGCCAGCAGCCGCGGUAAUACGUAGGUGGCAUGCGUUAUCCGGAAUUAUUGGGCGUAAAGGGUGCGUAGGCGGUUUAUUAAGUCUGUGGUGAAAGUUCGGGGCUCAACCCCGUAUGGCCACAGAAACUGAUAGACUAGAGUACAGGAGAGGGCAGUGGAAUUCCAUGUGUAGCGGUAAAAUGCGUAGAUAUAUGGAGGAACACCGGUGGCGAAGGCGGCUGCCUGGCCUGUAACUGACGCUGAGGCACGAAAGCGUGGGGAGCAAAUAGGAUUAGAUACCCUAGUAGUCCACGCUGUAAACGAUGAUUACUAAGUGUUGGAGAAAUUCAGUGCUGCAGUUAACGCAAUAAGUAAUCCGCCUGGGGAGUAUGCACGCAAGUGUGAAACUCAAAGGAAUUGACGGGACCCCGCACAAG